UUCCUACGGGAGGCAGCAGUGAGGAAUAUUGGGCAAUGGAGGCAACUCUGACCCAGCCAUGCCGCGUGAGUGAAGAAGGUUUUCGGAUUGUAAAGCUCUUUCGGAUGUGACGAUGAUGACGGUAGCAUCUAAAGAAGCCCCGGCUAACUUCGUGCCAGCAGCCGCGGUAAUACGUAGGGGGCAAGCGUUAUCCGGAUUUACUGGGUGUAAAGGGAGCGUAGACGGCAGUGCAAGUCUGGAGUGAAAGGCGGGGGCUCAACCCCCGGACUGCUCUGGAAACUGUACGGCUGGAGUGCAGGAGAGGG
rnacentral:rRNA from 1 species